rnacentral:rRNA from 1 species
GAUCAUGGCUCAGGAUGAACGCUAGCUACAGGCUUAACACAUGCAAGUCGAGGGGCAGCAUGGUCUUAGCUUGCUAAGGCCUAUGGCGACCGGCGCACGGGUGAGUAACGCGUAUCCAACCUGCCUUACACCCUUGGACAGCCUUCUGAAAGCGAGAUUAAUACAAGAUGUUAUCAUGAGUAAGCAUUUUCGCAUGAUUAAAGGUUUACCGGUGUAAGAUGGGGAUGCGUU